AGGACCCGUCCUUUUUAGGUCACAAGAUUGCGCCAACCCCCAUAGAGUAGUUUUUAAAAUACACUUUUAACAGCCUAGCAUUGAAAAGAAAGCCCCGGUAGGCAGAAGCUGUGAGUCCGGCAAAGUUUUAAAACGAACAUGUAUUUUAUUAACCCCAGAGGCGCCGGCAGAUGUUUGGAAAGGGUAGUGUUGUGCGCGGAGGCGACACAUUAUUUUCCCGCCCUACAAAAGCGGUUUAAGCGCGGAGCGACACGGGCAGCCCCGGCGAUAACUGCAGGCGGCUGCUAGGACGCCGCGGGUUUAAAACAUGCGCUUGAGGCGGCCAGAGCGCAUGCGUGAGGGUGUGGGGCAGACGGGAGGGGCAGCCGCGGUCUUCCGGGGGGGAGGGGCGGCGAGGCGAGGCCUGCGGGGCGGGCCCCCGCCCGGGCGGGCACGUGGGGCCCCUUCAUCUUCGGCGUCGGGGCGCCCAGCGCCAGCCCCCACCCCCGCCUCGGCCCCGUGGCGGCGGUCGGUGGGGAGAAAGACCAAAACCCACCACCCGCUGCCGUCAAAUUCACGGCUCUGCUCAUGGUUUCUGGGGAGGGCUAGAAACAUGGCCAUAAAGAGAAUGGCGUCCAUUUACAUAAUGCUUUGUCUGCAUUUUGCAACUCUCUUUCGUUUACCCGCAGAACCCCCACCUCCUGCGCUGGUGUCGUUUUAGUCGCUGCCGCCUCGUCAGACAUUUAAGACAAUGGCGUGCAUCUUGGGGGACCGCAUUUACUCCUGCUCUGGGGAGUUCCUGCGGUUUUCCCCGCGCGGCUUACGCUCCCGCUGCUGCCUUUCGGCCCUUUCCCCGCUCGGUGCAGCCACGGCGCCCACGCUCUCCGGGGGCGGCCCCCAACAGGACCCGCCAUCUUGGAGGGCCUUUCUUGCCGUGUGUGGAGCCGCGCGUUCCUCCCGGUAAAGAAAGGUCGCUGGGGCCCUUGAUGCGCCAGUUGUGAUUUCUGCCCCUUCUCCUUUUCCUCGGCUGAGCGAGACAGAAAAGGCCGAGUGCGCGGGGUGCUUCAGGAUCCCCCAGGGAAAGCGGCUAACGUGGCGGUCCUUCCCUCCCCCCUCCCUUUCUUCCCCGUGGGGGUGGCCGCCAUGUUUCCUGAACACAAAAUGGCGACACGUGGCCUAUAUUCGUCGCCAACGAGAAAUAGGGGUCGGGCCGAAAGCUCUAGAACGCGGCCGCCCCCCAUCCCCCCGUCCCGCCCGUGAGCCGGGGCCUUCCCCGCGCAGCGAGUGCUCUGACCAGAUUGGGAUGAGACCCCGCAGGCUGGUCCCAGCCUCACCGGGCGAAUUUUAAUACAUUUCUCAUUAAUUUGAAACGGGGACGCAAAUAACUGUAAAAUCAGAUGAAAUCACUUAGGCCCAGAGAGAUGCAGUGACUAAUUCAAGGUCACACAGUGUCGAGGAUGGAAUCCAGACCUGAUACAGUUAUUGACCUGCGUUAUCUUGCGGAUAUGUGAGUGAAUUCCACACCACCCAUUUUACAGAUGAAGCCACUGAGAUACAGAGCAACUGACUAAAUAGUCACCGCCCCACUCCUGGAGCCUCACAUGACUCUUCUCCCAGAGCCGUGCAGUAUGUGACUGUGCGAGGCAUGAGGCGCAGCAGGCCGUGAUACAGACUAAUUGAUGGUGAUCUCAACUUCUGUGACAGCUUCAGUUACCAUCUACGCAUGGAUGAUGACCAAAUCUCUCUCCAGACCAGACUAUCCAACUGUUCACAUGGACAGCUCCACUGGGAUGUUUUGAAGACUCAGCGAAAUGCAGCCUUCUGCUCUUCCCCUCUUGCUCUUCCUCCAGUGUCCUGUCACAUGUGUUUGCCAGGAUGAACCAACUAACAUACUUGGGAUGAACCAUCUAACAUGCUUGUCUCUCUCCAGGACAUCUUCAUAAAAUAAGGGUGAAACAUUGUCUUGUCACUGUAUAACAUGGUAGUUGAGAAUGUGACUCUGGAGCUAGCCUGAUGGGACCUGAAUUCUGACUCAGCCACUUACUAUGUGACCUUGGGAUGGACUGCAAAAUCAUUGUAAGCCCUGCUCCUUUGGACUGCACAGUGGGAGCUGGAAACAUGGGUGACCCCAUUGGGACCCUUUGUAUUCAUAAGCACCAAAUAUACCAGGAGCUGGGUUUGAGAAUUCUUCAUAAUUGGCAGCAUUAUGAUGGCUUCUUCCUAGUUUCUUCUGUGCAUGUCUCAAGGGUUUCCACAUCCGCAGACGGAAGAGCUUAAUCCUCCAUCAGUAUCCUCCGACAGCGCAUUCAGUUGAGGGCAGUGUCUUAUCUUCCGACGUCCGUUCACCCUCAUGCUUCACACAUACUCUACCACUGAUGGUUUCUUAGACUCUGGCUUUCGUCAGGCCCUUGAUAUCCACCAGUUACCCUUUGGUAAGAGAUUAAGCCAUUCCACUACUCUCCCAGAGGCAUUUGCAUUUAGAACUACAGGUAUAAUAGAAAUAAUGGAAGACGUUGCAUUCCUGAGGGAAGGCGAUCCUGGAAUGAAUUAUUCAUUUGCUCAUUCUAGAACAUCCCUGUCCAGUAGAUCUUUCUGCACCGAAGGAAAUGUUCUUCUGUGCUCUACAAUACGAUAGCUGCUAGCCAUGUGUGGCUAGUGUAACUGAGGAGCUGUGUUUUUCAUUUUAAUUAAAGUUAAAUUUAAAUUGACACGAGGAAAGCAGGCAUUAUUAGGUUGCAUCCACUGGAUUGGUGAGAGACCCCUGACAACCCACUUGCCUGCCCUACUAUCCGAGCGCCCCCCAAAGGUAACUUUAAAAACGGGUCUUUCCAAGGUCGUGGGAAAGGACUUGGUGUGCCGCCACCACUUCUGCCUUUGGUCUCUGUGCCUUCCGCAGAGCUUCCAGCAGCGAUGCGUUGGGACAGAGUGUCUGGAGGCUCACGACCUCUGUGGUUCGGAGGAACCACUGUGAGGCAGGCCCAGGGAAGAAUUUGCCAUUUUCAAUGGAAAACAAGUGGCAGUUACUAAUUAUGAUGACUUUGUACUUUGGAUCUUGAUUUGCUACACCUUUCUUUAUAAUAAGCAGUUACUUAAGAAAUUAGGAUGUUUUAGUUAAUCCACGAAACAGGUAUGAAGAGCAGCUUUUU